AUGGCAGCAGAGGAGCUGAUUCAGGAGGAUUUAAUAUUGACCAGGAGAGUUGGAGAAAAUGUCUCCUUCAGCUGUGGAGAGAUUAAUAAGUGUGAUGGCAGCUAUGUGUUCUGGUACCAGAAGAAAGAAUAUGAAACAUUCAGAGUGAUUCUUGAUAUUGAUAAGAAUAGUGGUAACAUAGAUAAAAAUUACGGUCAUCCUCAGAAAGAUGAUUUCUCAGCUGUGAAAACACAGAACGGCUGGGAGUUGAAGAUAGAGAAAGUUAAACGUGAUCAUUCAGCCACCUACUACUGCUCCUGCUACAAGUCUGCUCCCCACAGUGAGAAAUGA